rnacentral:rRNA from 1 species
GACGAACCGUGCGAACGUUGUUCGGAAUCACUGGGCUUAAAGGGCGCGUAGGCGGGCGGCCAAGUCAGAGGUGAAAUCCCACGGCUCAACCGUGGAAGCGCCCCUGAUACUGGCUGUCUGGCUAGAGUCCGGGAGGGGCGAGUGGAAUUCCUGGUGUAGCGGUGAAAUGCGCAGAUAUCAGGAGGAACACCAAUGGCGAAGGCAGCUCGCUGGAACGGUACUGACGCUGAGGCGACGAAAGCGUGGGGAGCAAACAGG